rnacentral:rRNA from 1 species
UACGUAGGUGACAAGCGUUGUCCGGAUUUAUUGGGCGUAAAGAGCUCGUAGGCGGUUCGGUAAGUCAGGUGUGAAACCUCCAGGCUCAACCUGGAGACGCCACCUGAUACUGCUGUGACUCGAGUCCGGUAGGGGAGCGUGGAAUUCCUGGUGUAGCGGUGAAAUGCGCAGAUAUCAGGAGGAACACCAGCGGCGAAGGCGGCGCUCUGGGCCGGAACUGACGCUGAGGAGCGAAAGCGUGGGUAGCAAACAGG